rnacentral:lncRNA from 1 species
CUGAAGUCCAGGCACAGCCAACUGGGGAGAUGGAUAAACAAUUACAAUGUAGUAUGAAGCAGCGGAAUUCUGGAAACGUUUUUUUCUCUCUCUCACAUUUCCGACAGUCAAAACUAAAUCAGAGUUGCCUUGUGGAGGUAUUUUUUCUUUUUUGCCCUUUCUCUGCUGAAUCGGAGC